rnacentral:rRNA from 1 species
AACGAACGCUGGCGGCAUGCCUAACACAUGCAAGUCGAACGAAGCCUUCGGGCUGAGUGGCGCACGGGUGUGUAACGCGCGGGAAUCUGCCCCUGGGUUCGGAAUAACAGUUAGAAAUGACUUCUAAUACCGGAUGAUGUCUUCGGACCAAAGAUUUAUCGCCGAAGGAUGAGCCCGCGUAGGAUUAGGUAGUUGGUGGGGUAAUGGCCCACCAAGCCGACGAUCCUUAGCUGGUCUGAGAGGAUGAUCAGCCACACUGGGACUGAGAGACGGCCCAGACUCCUACGGGAGGCAGCAGUGGGGAAUAUUGGACAAUGGGCGAAAGCCUGAUACAGCAAUGCCGCGUGAGUGAUGAAGGCCUUAGGGUUGUAAAGCUCUGUUACCAGGGAUGAUAAUGACGGUACCUGGGGAAUAAGCCCCGGCUAACUCCGUGCCAGCCGCCGCCGUAA